CCACAGAUGUCCGAAUGGGGGAACCCAGUGCAUUUAUGCAUUAUCUGCAACUGAAUACAUAGGUUGUAGAGGCAAACGAGGGGAACUGAAACAUCUAAGUACCCUUAGGAAAAGAAAUCAAACGAGAUUCCCCUAGUAGCGGCGAGCGAACGGGGAGCAGCCGAGUAAUUAUAAUGUAGUGGAAUGAGUUGGAAAGCUCAACGGUACAGGGUGAUAGUCCCGUACACUAAGCGUUAUUUUUGCCAUAUUAAGUAGGUCGGGACACGUGUUAUCUUGACUGAAGAUGGGGGGACCAUCCUCCAAGGCUAAAUACUCCUAACUGACCGAUAGUGAACUAGUACCGUGAGGGAAAGGCGAAAAGAACCCCUGUGAGGGGAGUGAAAUAGAACCUGAAACCGUAUACGUACAAGCAGUGGGAGCAGACUUGUUCUGUGACUGCGUACCUUUUGUAUAAUGGGUCAGCGACUUAUAUUUUGUAGCAAGGUUAACCGCAUAGGGAAGCCGUAGUGAAAGCGAGGGUUAACUGCCCGUUUAGUUGCAAGGUAUAGACCCGAAACCCGGUGAUCUAGCCAUGGGCAGGUUGAAGGUUGAGUAACAUCAACUGGAGGACCGAACCCACUGACGUUGAAAAGUCAGGGGAUGACCUGUGGCUGGGGGUGAAAGGCCAAUCAAACCGGGAGAUAGCUGGUUCUCCCCGAAAGCUAUUUAGGUAGCGCCUCGGACGAACACCAUUGGGGGUAGAGCACUGUUAAGGCUAGGGGGUCAUCCCGACUUACCAACCCUUUGCAAACUCCGAAUACCAAUGAGUGCUAUCCGGGAGACACACGGCGGGUGCUAACGUCCGUCGUGAAGAGGGAAACAACCCAGACCGCCAGCUAAGGUCCCAAAAUAUUGCUAAGUGGGAAACGAUGUGGGAAGGCUAAGACAGCUAGGAGGUUGGCUUAGAAGCAGCCACCCUUUAAAGAAAGCGUAAUAGCUCACUAGUCGAGUCGGCCUGCGCGGAAGAUGUAACGGGGCUAAGCAAUAUACCGAAGCUGCGGAUGUUUACUUUGUAAACAUGGUAGGGGAGCGUUGUGUAAGUGGCUGAAGGUAAGCUGUGAGGCUUGCUGGACAUAUCACAAGUGCGAAUGCUGACAUGAGUAACGAUAAUGGGGGUGAAAAACCCCCACGCCGGAAGACCAAGGUUUCCUGUCCCAUGCUAAUCAGGGCAGGGUAAGUCGGCCCCUAAGGCGAGGCAGAGAUGCGUAGUCGAUGGGAAACGGAUUAAUAUUUCCGUACUUGGUAUAUCAGUGAAGGGGGGACGGAGAAGGCUA
rnacentral:rRNA from 1 species